AAGAACAACCACCCAGUCGAACCACCGGCGUCAGGGCAAUCCAAGAGUCUGCCUCCCGAUUGGGUAAAGCCCAGAGGCCUCGCCCAACAAGGGGCGCGCUGGUUGGCGGUGGACGGACCAAUGAGAAGGCGAGGAACAAUGACGGGGCCCGGGAAUGGAGGGGGCCUGGAAGCCACGCGAUGUCAGGAACAUCUCGUGAGCAGCCUGUGGUGAGGGCGGAGCUGUAGGGAAGGCCUCGCCGUUCCCGUGGCCUGGCCCGCUCAGCUGGGCUUGGCUGGGGUCAGCUCUCCCCUCCCACCGUUACCAGGACGAUCAUCUCCCCACAGCCCAGGCUGACAGGACUGGCGCCAUGAGCUCCCCCGAUGAGGCGUCCGUUUUGGGGGCCGAUUUGGGCCCAGAGGGUGGCGAGCAGGCCGGCGCCCACACCGAAAGCUCCAGAGCCCCAUGGGGCCGGGGCCGGGGCCAUGGCCACGGCCGUGGCCUUGAUUUGGGGGCACAGUGCAGUGGUGAGGGGCAGGGCGAGAGCCGGUUCGCAGAUCCCGAGGGCUUCAGCUUCGAGUCUGAGAGUGAAAUGAUAAAGCAGCGAAGGGUGGUGCUCUGGGGACAGGAAGGCCGGCCUGGCACCCCGGUUGACGACUGGGGGGUCGGUCCCAGUGGGAGAGGCGCUCCGGGCCCCAGCCCGGGAGAAUGCCAGCAGGCCUCCGCCGGCCCUCUCCGCCUCAGUGGUCCUGGGCCAGGCCCGGCCUGGGAGAACCCGGAAAGGGGCUCGAAGAGCAGCAGUGUGAGCGUCCCAGUGGAUCCCCAGCAGCCCUCUGCGGAAGGCCCCGCCGCGCUGUCUGAGGACGAGGACGCUGAUUCCACAGAUGAGAGCAGCCACUUACCGGUGAUUAGGGUAAUCGUUCGCACCAAAGAAGGAAGCCAGGUCAAGCCCGGAAGCCCCAAGAAGCCAGCAGACACUUGCAGACGCCUGAGUUUCCACCGCAAGGAGAGUAACCUUCACGAUCAGGGCCCUCUCCUGACCUCUGCUCCCCACAGACUCACUCCAGCCGUGGGGAGGCGCGCCGUGGGAGAGCUGGAAGCGUCUUCCUCGAAGAAAAUGCGGAGCAUGGUCUGGGGAAAGGUGGGGGUCGGGCCCAGCUGCUCAGGAGCUGCCUUUACAGGGCCGGUACCCCGGGGCUCUCCAGGAAGGAAGGUGGCCCAGGAGAAGAAAUCCCUAGGGGGUGAGCCAAAACUGGCCCCGGAGGGACGCUUUCCUGCUUGGAGGCAGCGACUCUCAACAAUUCCGCAGGAUCCGGCCAGCUUCCCGCUGGUCUCUGGUGUGGGUCUCCUGGGGCAGUCUGGGAGACCCAAGGAGCUCAAGCACUGCAGCCCUGGGAAGAAAUCUGAGGGAAGAAAGACCAGGGAGUCCCAGGCAGCAGCCAGAGAAGAUAAUGACCCAAAUAGAGAUGAGGUCCCAAGGGCCCAACUUCCCACACACAAGCCAGAGGUGAUUUCCCCGUCUGUGCGUCGUGGGGAAUGCAGCAGUGGGGACCUCGCCAUCAGAGCUCCCCAAGUUCCAGGAACCUCACAGCCCUCGGCCUUGAGCGUGAGACGUGUCGUGCUCAGACCCCGUGACCAUCGGCAGCCUGUCCAUCCCCCAAGACCGGAAAGGCAGCAGCCGCCCCCGGGAGCCCAGGGCUGUCUUCGGGUAAUGCUUUGUGUGGCUCCCAGAAAUCCAGGUCCACACUAGAUGGUGGCAUCCGUGUCCAGUGUGUCUGGCUGCAGAGGGAAGUCGAGGACCUUAGAAACCAACUAGUGGCCAUGCAGUACCUCCUUGACAAGUCCCAGCACUUUUGAAGAUGGAGCCAGCGUCUUCCUGCAAGAUGUGCAGUUGGUACCUCUGGAGCCCCUGAGCUGCAGCCGAGCUGGUUCCCUCCGAAUCCUCUUCAGCCAAGGCUUCCUCUCUUCCUCUGCGUUUGCCCUCUUCCCGCCGCAGUUCAAAGCAGUUUCAAAUAAAG